rnacentral:rRNA from 1 species
AGUGAACGCUGGCGGUAGGCCUAACACAUGCAAGUCGAACGGCAGCACAGUAAGAGCUUGCUCUUACGGGUGGCGAGUGGCGGACGGGUGAGGAAUACAUCGGAAUCUACUUUUUCGUGGGGGAUAACGUAGGGAAACUUACGCUAAUACCGCAUACGACCUACGGGUGGAAGCAGGGGAUCUUCGGACCUUGCGCGAUUGAAUGAGCCGAUGUCGGAUUAGCUAGUUGGCGGGGUAAAGGCCCACCAAGGCGACGAUCCGUAGCUGGUCUGAGAGGAUGAUCAGCCACACUGGAACUUAGACGCGGUCCAUGCUCCUACGGGAGGCAGCAGUGGGGAAUAUUGGACAAUGGUCGCAAUCCUGAUCCAGCCAUACCGCGUGGGUGAAGAAGGCCUUCGGGUUGUAAAGCCCUUUUGUUGGGAAAGAAAAGCAGCAGGUUAAUACCCCGCUGUUCUGACGGUACCCAAAGAAUAAGCACCGGCUAACUUCGUG